CAGAGAUGUAUUGAAAGACUGGAGAGAGAAGGAUGGUGACUUUCUCCCCAGAUAACCAGCAUGUAGAACACUUGUGGAAGAGAUGGAGUUGCACUUACAGAUCUGAUGGAUGGCCUCCAUGGCGACGGUAGCAUUAAUCUUGAUGGAUGACCUGAAGAGAUGAGAUGCUGCUGGAAACUAAUCCAGAUACCUAAGGAGGAGAUGAACUUGGAAUAAACUUCAAUGUGGACAUGUGGAACCAGAACAUUUGGAGGAAGUUUGGAUUCAUCCACAUUCUCAGCCUGAACAUAGAUGAGAUUUGACAAAGAUCAGAUCUGCUGAAGGUCAUCAAAUACCUGAACCCGGAUCUAAAGUCUUCAUUCCCAACCUGCAGAUGGUGUAUUAGACUGGAGACAGCUUUGAAUCCUAAAACCUGACCAGACCCCAGACCUACAUCAACCAGUAACCCUGACGAGGAGUGUUGAGCUGAGGUCUGAUGUCAUCUUCCUGGUUAAUGCGUCUGGACUG